rnacentral:misc_RNA from 1 species
UACGUAGGGGGUGAGCGUUGUCCGGAUCUACUGGGCGUAAAGAGCUCGUAGGCGGUUUGUCGCGUCUGUCGUGAAAGUCCGGGGCUCAACUCCGGAUCUGCGGUGGGUACGGGCAGGCUAGAGUGAUGUAGGGGAGACUGGAAUUCCUGGUGUAGCGGUGAAAUGCGCAGAUAUCAGGAGGAACACCGAUGGCGAAGGCAGGUCUCUGGGCAUUAACUGACGCUGAGGAGCGAAAGCAUGGGGAGCGAACAGG